AGAGCGAACGCUGGCGGCAGGCUUAAUACAUGCAAGUCGAGCGCCUGUAGCAAUACAGGAGCGGCAGACGGGUGAGUAACGCGUGGGAACGUACCCUUUGGUUCGGAACAACACAGGGAAACUUGUGCUAAUACCGGAUAAGCCCUUACGGGGAAAGAUUUAUCGCCGAAGGAUCGGCCCGCGUCUGAUUAGCUAGUUGGUGAGGUAAUGGCUCACCAAGGCGACGAUCAGUAGCUGGUCUGAGAGGAUGAUCAGCCACACUGGGACUGAGACACGGCCCAGACUCCUACGGGAGGCAGCAGUAGGGAAUAUUGGACAAUGGGGGCAACCCUGAUCCAGCCAUGCCGCGUGAGUGAUGAAGGCCUUAGGGUUGUAAAGCUCUUUGUGCGGGAAGAUAAUGGACGGUACCGCAAGAAUAAGCCCCGGAUAACGUUCGCGCCAGCAGCCGC
rnacentral:rRNA from 1 species